rnacentral:rRNA from 1 species
CCUACGGGAGGCAGCAGUGAGGAAUAUUGGUCAAUGGACGAGAGUCUGAACCAGCCAAGUAGCGUGAAGGAUGAAUGCCCUAUGGGUUGUAAACUUCUUUUAUAAAGGAAUAAAACGAGGCACGUGUGCCUUUUUGCAUGUACUUUAUGAAUAAGGAUCGGCUAACUCCGUGCCAGCAGCCGCGGUAAUACGGAGGAUCCGAGCGUUAUCCGGAUUUAUUGGGUUUAAAGGGUGCGUAGAUGGGUUGUUAAGUCAGUUGUGAAAGUUUGCGGCUCAACCGUAAACUUGCAGUUGAUACUGGCAGUCUUGAGUACAGUUGAGGUAGGCGGAAUGCGUGGUGUAGCGGUGAAAUGCUUAGAUAUCACGCAGAACCCCGAUUGCGAAGGCAGCUUACUAAACUGUAACUGACAUUGAUGCUCGAAAGCGUGGGGAGCAAACAGGAUUAGAUACCCGAGUAGUC